rnacentral:tRNA from 2 species
UGGAGAGGUGGCUGAGCGGUCGAAAGCGGCAGAUUGCUAAUCUGUUGUACGGCAGGUAACUCCGUACCGAGGGUUCGAAUCCCUCCCUCUCCGU